rnacentral:rRNA from 1 species
AUGUCAUCAAGGUCAGAUUAUAUCAACCUGUCUUCUUUGUUGAUGGAACGAUGGCUGCGGAUCGAUCACUCGAUAGUUGAUGCACAGAGGCUCCUGCCAUCCGAGUUUGGCUCUAACAUAGAGCGGGUUCACACCGUGGAUCCAGCGGCCACAUUGUAUGCUGGUAAAGUCGGCCUUCGCCGUCUGAUCGAGGCGGAGGGUAUACAUCAUAUAUAUGUCUGCUGCAACGGGUUCGCCGAAACCUGCCUUCUGAGCAUCGGCGAUGUUACAGCCGUUGGCGCCAGUCCUCCGUCCGACAAGAUCACUGUCCUAGUCGAUGGAGAUGCAAAGGCGGUGUUUGUGGUGGAAGAAGACAUAGCCGCCUACACGGUGAGGGCGGUCGACGACCCGAGAACCCUGGACAAGAUCCUCUACAUGAGGCUGCUGGCGAACAUGGUGUCCCACAACGAGCUCAUCGCCAUGUGGGAGAGGAAGACGGGCAGGACUUUCCAGAUCGAGCGUGUCCCGGAGGCGGAUCUCCUCAAGUUGAUCAAUGAAGCGGCGUUCCCUCUGAACAUACUGCUGUCCCUCUCGCUCUCCGUCUUGGUGAGGGGCGACGUACCAAGCCAACCUCGACAUUGA